AUUCCAAGAAGACUGGAACAUGUGCAUGAAGCGGUUGAUGAACAGGUUCUCCAUCCUGCAGACCAGGAGAGAGGUCACCUUGCGCACACUAGCCAUGCCUCCCUCUGCAGAGCCCCUUCACACCAAGCUCUCAGGGGUCCUCACAACCCCCGCCCCCUCCAGGCAGCUCUGCAGAGGUAGGUGACUGGCUUUUCAGAACCAGGUCAGAAACUGGCAUCUAUACGGGAUGCUGUUCUACUGCACCUCACCUGUCGAAGAGACAGGCCAGUACCCUCCAGAAUAGCCUGCAGUGCCUUGAAUUCCAUUCACACAUGUGUUCAUUCAUUCACUCAUCGGGCACUUGCAGUCCCCCACUCGGUGGGCCAGUCCCUGAGAAAGCUUCUACGAACAGAGAUCCAGCUGCUCUACCGUGUUGCCUGGCUUUUGGGGCGAUGAACAGUUCAAUUGACUUGAAAACUCAUGUAUUUUCUGCUAAAUGGCUCCGUGUUUGGUGCUGAGGAGAAGUUUCCAAAUGCUCACUGCACAGGACAAGAAAAUAGAAACCCAAGGCCAGAGCUUGCUAAAUUCAGAAUGCAGGCUGCAGGUACUAAGGAGUGAGAUGUGAGUGUAUGAGCAAUCCCCAGGGCUUCCUGGAGGAGGCAGGGUGUGGGAUGGGUCCAGGAAAGGUGGAAAAGAGGGGAGAGACUUCCCAGGCUUCCUCCAUAACCCUGCAGAGUGCAGGACAGGAGCGUGGGAGUGCUGCCCAGUGUUCACCAUGACACACUGUGCCUCAGUUUCUCUCUCUGGCACACAAAAGACUGAGAUUAACAAGAUAGCCUGUUGCCUCUCCACCGUCAGUGCUCAAUCACUGCCCACUCUUCAGCCUUGACUCUGGUUGCCCCUCAGAGCUCAGGCCUUUGCCUUGGGCCUUUGCACAUCUGUUUCCUUCAGGCUGGAAUGCUCUGUGCCCCUUUCUUUUCUGCUGUGGACUAAAUUGUGCUCCCCAAAUUCAUGUGUUGAAGCCCUGACCCCCAGUGUGAUGGCAUUAGGAGAUGGGGCCUUUGGGAGGUGAUUAGGGUUAGACGAGGUCACGAGGGUGGGGUACCCGUGAUGGGAUUAGCAUCCUCGUAAGAAGAGGAAGGCACCGAGGGCUUAUUCAUGCCCUGUCCCCCUCUCUCUGCCACGUGACCAUGCUGUGGGAACACAGAGACAUCUGCAAGCUGGGAAGAGGGCCCUCACCAGCAAGUGGAUUGGCUGGCACCCUAAUCUUGGACUUCUAGCCUCCGGACCUGUGAGAGACAAAUAUCUGCCGUUUAAGCCAUCUGGUCUGUGGUAUUUUGAUGUGGCUGUCCCAAUAGACUAUGCCAUUCUCUUACUGCGCACAUGG
rnacentral:lncRNA from 1 species